rnacentral:lncRNA from 1 species
AAUUCCUGAAAAAUAGGAUUCACUACUGAGGCUAGCUCAAAUACAUGAAUUAAGUUAGCUAUGGCUGAUACUACUUCGACUUUCACAAUCCAAAUAAUUAUUAAGACACCAGAUACCCAAUCUAAUUAACGGACUAAUACUAAUUGAUUAUCAUGACAGUCCAAACUAGCUUAAACACAGUCCCGUAUACAAAGCAAAUACAAAUUUAAAAUAGCAAAACUAACAGACAUGAAUUGUCUAAUGUCUACUCUACUUUGGCAACUUGGAUGCAUAAGUCUCAAACUAGCAUUUUAUUGCAGCAUCUCAAUUCAGAAUUACAUCAGCUUGUUUUUCAAGUGUGUACCUGGAUGUUAAAAAUAGGAGAAGAAGAAGGAAUAGUCAGCAGCAUCAGUACAACACAUCAAUAAUAGCAGUACACCAGCAACAACCAACAACUAAGGGACAGUUUCAAACCACCAGUACAACAAUAAACCACAGCAACACCAGUACAUACCAGAAACCAGUAAAAUUCCCAGCACCAAUUGUAAAACCAACAGUAAUACUAACUUCAAACCAGAAACACACUUGACAGUAAUAACCAGCAACUAAUUGAACCCCAAAUAAACUUGACACACAAUGGACUCCUGAAACUUCAAAAGAACUGAAGUCCAAUGAACAAUAAGUUUUCAGUUAAAAGAAAUCAGUUUUUCACUAUUAUGCCCUUAAAGUAUUAUUUUUAAACUGAUUCUUAGACCGACUUCUUUCAGAACCUCUCUCUUUCGCAACUGACUGAAAAGAACAAAACUGAAAGUAAAUUGAUCUCUCUUCCAAAAUUCGUCAAGAACUCCUAGAUUGAUAUAAAAGGAACUCCCCUUUACUCUCCAAACUGACCUCUAUUUAUUCUUAAUGUGUUUCAGCCCCCUAGCCUAAGCCCCCUUAUGUUCUCUUUAAGGAACCAGUUUGCUCCCUCUUUUUUUCAAAAACUUUUUCUUUACAGCAACCCCCACUUCCAACCGAGAGGUUGUGAGUUCGAGUCUCCCCAAGAGCAAGGUGGGAAGUUCUUGGAGGGAAGGAUGCCGG